rnacentral:pre_miRNA from 1 species
CCUUCCUGCCGGAUCUGGCGACAGAGCUCGAGCUCUGCCGCUAGAUCCGGCGAGCCGCGAGCUCCGCCGCUAGAUCCGGCGAGCUCGA